UUAAUCGAAAUUCCAUGUAUAGUAUUUGUUAAAAGAUGGAAAUAGCAGGAUCUUUGUUGCAAUGUUUUAUAGUUUCGUACAUUCAUUUAUCAGAGAUAAUACUGCUUGAAACUAUUCUAACUCAACUGAGAGUUAAUGAAUUUUAACUAGGAGUGUUGUGCUGCAGGAUUCCCAUCCCACCACAACGCCCCCUUCAACCCCGAACCAGUUUACUGAUGCGCCUCCACAACCUUAUGGGUUGCCGCUGUCCGUGCAGCUGCUAGCAGCAGGGCCCAUUGUCGUUGCUCCGCAGUCCAGGUUGAUCUGCUUGCUGCUGUUUCUACUAUCGCUGAAACCAACCAGGACUUACUGGCCUCAAAACACCAAGGUUGGUUGGGCAAUCUGGUGCUUAUCUGCUGGGAUUUUGAAUUUAAUGUGUGAAAUUUCUGGUAGCUAUUUGGGUCCAUGUAGGGUAUGAUAUAAAUCUCAGAUUUUCUUGGUUAAUUAGUCGCAAUUGUUAGUUUGUUAAUGGCUUCAUGUAUGCAGCUCAAGCCUCACUUCAUCAGGUAAAAUGUCAACCUAAAAAUCAUCCAGGCAGCAGGAUACUUUCCCAAGAGCACCAAUUGCAGUAAACAACUUUGGCUGAUGCUCACGACAGGCUGUGACGCCGUGUGGUGGUGUCGAGCAUUGGGGGUAGAUGUUCAAGCUGGAGGAUUUUCUCCAAUGAGAUGUAGAAUGAAGGCUUUGAUUUCAAGCACGAGAAUGAUGGAAGGAUGUUGGUGGAAGGCUGAGGAUGGGUAUGUAGUUGCCCACUACAAGGAGCCAAGGCAGAUGAUGUGCCUCUUAGACAAAUUCUAGAAAACAAUGCAAGGAAUUUUUGCUCUUGGACAAUGAACCAUAAUGUCUGAUAUAUUUCAUUAGUUGCAUUAGUUUAUAGGAAACUUGGAUGGUCACUGGUUCAUAACAUAUGAACUAUCUAUAUGUGAAAAUUAAUGAAUUUGUG